GGGUCAGUAGGUUGGUCGUGCCACCGGUACGUACUGGUCUCACUGAUUCCUCCUUCCUGAAGAACCGUAAUGCCAUUAAUUUGGUGUUGCGGGGAAACAGGACUGUUACUUCGAAAAAAUUAGAGUGUUUAAAGCAAGCGAACGCUUGAAUACAUUAGCAUGGAAUAAUGAAAUAGGACGAUCGAUCCUAUUUUGUUGGUUUCUAGGAUUGACGUA
rnacentral:rRNA from 1 species